rnacentral:lncRNA from 1 species
UUUGUAUGUUGAACUAGAAAUGUUAAAUGAUGUAAUUGAUGUAUUUGGAUGAAAGCUAAUGUGAUGUAAGUGUGAAUGAAAAAGAAUAUGAAUGUAAUAGUUUAAAUUUACUUGUGUUUGAUUCAAAGGAAAUCAAAUGACUUGUAUGUUGUAUGUUUAGUUAGUUUCGAUGCUUUCACAUGUGAUUUAGUUGUUGUUUGCCCUCGUGCAAACCUUAUAUAAUUGCGUUCAUUUGUAUUGAAUUGCUUGUAUUAUACAUGUUAUUGGAGCCUUGGGCGGACAGGAGAGGUGCUGUCCAUUCGAUGUCUGUUCGCGUGC